CACGUAGGCGGUUUGUUAAGUUGGAUGUGAAAUCCCAGGGCUCAACCUUGGAAUUGCAUCCGAUACUGGCAAGCUAGAGUACAGUAGAGGGAGGUGGAAUUUCCGGUGUAGCGGUGAAAUGCGUAGAGAUCGGAAGGAACACCAGUGGCGAAGGCGGCCUCCUGGACUGAUACUGACGCUGAGGUGCGAAAGCGUGGGGAGCAAACA
rnacentral:rRNA from 1 species